GAAGAGGUGGCCACUUGUUGGGCUACUUGGGAGAUUUGGGUCUCAAGCAUUUUGGUGUGUGUGGCGAUAGAAUCAACCUUGGUAGUGAGUUUGGAGAGAGAGUCGUUCAGAAAUCCUGUUUGGUUUUUCAAUUCUUGAAGAUUUUUAUUUUGAUUAGCAAUGCAAUUUUCCAAUAAAAUCUCCAAACUUGAUUUCUGAGCCACUCUCUGGUUGUUUGUAUAGCCAGGUGGUGCUGCUUGUCCAUAGGAACCUUGAGGAUU
rnacentral:lncRNA from 1 species